UGGGGAAUAUUGCACAAUGGGCGCAAGCCUGAUGCAGCCAUGCCGCGUGUGUGAAGAAGGCCUUCGGGUUGUAAAGCACUUUCAGCGAGGAGGAAGGGUAGUGUGUUAAUAGCACAUUGCAUUGACGUUACUCGCAGAAGAAGCACCGGCUAACUCCGUGCCAGCAGCCGCGAUAAUACGGAGGGUGCAAGCGUUAAUCGGAAUUACUGGGCGUAAAGCGCACGCAGGCGGUUUGUUAAGUCAGAUGUGAAAUCCCCGCGCUUAACGUGGGAACUGCAUUUGAAACUGGCAAGCUAGAGUCUUGUAGAGGGGGGUAGAAUUCCAGGUGUAGCGGUGAAAUGCGUAGAGAUCUGGAGGAAUACCGGUGGCGAAGGCGGCCCCCUGGACAAAGACUGACGCUCAGGUGCGAAAGCGUGGGGAGCAAACA
rnacentral:rRNA from 1 species